GUCGAACGGUAACAGGUCUUUCGGGAUGCUGACGAGUGGCGGACGGGUGAGGAAUACAUCGGAAUCUGCUCAGUCGUGGGGGAUAACGCAUGGAAACGUGCGCUAAUACCGCAUACGACCUUCGGGUGAAAGCAGGGGAAUCUCUCGGGAUCCUUGCGCGAUUGAAUGAGCCGAUGUCGGAUUAGCUAGUUGGUAGGGUAAAAGCCUACCAAGGCCACGAUCCGUAGCUGGUCUGAGAGGAUGAUCAGCCACACUGGGACUGAGACACGGCCCAGACUCCUGCGGGAGGCAGCAGUGGGGAAUAUUGGACAAUGGGGGCAACCCUGAUCCAGCCAUACCGCGUGGGUGAAGAAGGCCUUCUGGGUUGUAAAGCCCUUUUGUUGGGGAAGAAAAACAACGGGUUAAUACCCCGUUGGUAUGACGGUACCCAAAGAAUAAGCACCGGCUAACUUCGUGCCAGCAGCCGCGGUAAUACGAAGGGUGCAAGCGUUACUCGGAAUUACUGGGCGUAAAGGGUGCGUAGGUGGUUGCGCCAGUCUGUCGUGAAAGCCCUGGGCUUAACCUGGGAAUGGCGAUGGAAACUGUGCAACUAGAGUGUGACAGAGGGUGGUGGAAUUCCUGGUGUAGCAGUGAAAUGCGUAGAGAUCAGGAGGAACAUUCGUGGCGAAGGCGGCCACCUGGGUCAACACUGACACUGAGGCACGAAAGCGUGGGGAGCAAACAGGACUAGAUACCCUGGUAGUCCACGCCCUAAACGAUGCGAACUGGAUGUUGGGUCCAACUUGGGAUUCAGUAUCGAAGCUAACGCGUUAAGUUCGCCGCCU
rnacentral:rRNA from 1 species